rnacentral:rRNA from 1 species
AUGAUGGACUUCACGGCGCUCUCACCGCUACUCUUCCUCUUCUUCGUUCUGCUCAUCCUCAAACUGGUCAUCGACCACUACGCAUCACCCACCCGCGGGCAGCGACUGCCACCCGGCCCAUGGCAGCUGCCGCUCAUCGGCAGCCUGCACCACCUCCUGCUAUCGCGCUCCGGGGGCCUGCCCCACCGGGCCAUGCGCGACCUCUCCCGCGCCCACGGCCCGCUCAUGCUCCUCCGCCUCGGCGCCGUGCCCACCCUCGUCGUCUCCUCCGCCGAGGCCGCCAGGGAGGUGAUGAAGACCCACGACGCCGCCUUCGCCAGCCGCCACCUCAGCGCCACGCUCGACAUCAUCAGCUGCGGUGGCAAGGGCAUCCUCUUCUCCCACUACAACGACCGCUGGCGCGAGCUCCGCAGGAUCUGUGUGCACGAGCUCUUCAGCCAGCGCCGCGUGCUCUCCUUCCGACCGGCACGGGAGGACGAGGUCGCCCGCCUCCUGCGCGCCGUCUCCGACGGGUGCCGUGAUGGCCAAGCAGUCAACCUCAGCGAGAAGAUGUGCCGCAUGACCAACGACUCCGUGGUGCGCGCGGCCAUCGGCGGUAGGUGCCACCACCGCGACGAGUUCUUGCACGAGCUAGACGAGGCCGUGCGGCUCACCGGCGGGAUCAAUCUCGCUGACCUGUACCCGUCGUCGCGGCUCGUGCGCCGGCUCAGCGUCGCCGCGCGGGACAUGGUCAGGUGCCAGAGGAACAUCUAUCGCAUCGUGGAGAGCAUCAUAAAAGAACGCGCCGGCAUCCCAGCGGACGAGAGAGACGAGGACCUGCUCGGCGUCCUCCUCAGGCUGCAGAAGGACGGCGGCCUGCAGUUUGAACUCACCACCGAGAUCAUCAGCACCGUCAUCUUCGACAUUUUCUCUGCCGGGAGCGAGACAUCGUCGACGACGCUAGAAUGGGCCAUGUCGGAGCUCAUGAGAAACCCACGAGUUCUCCACAAGGUGCAAUCGGAGGUGAGAGAGGCCUUCAACGGGCAAGACAAGCUGACCGAGGACGACAUCGUCAAGGUGAGGCUGGGCUACCUCCAGCUGGUGAUCAAGGAGGCCCUGAGGCUGCACCCGCCGGCGGCGCUCCUGCUCCCACGCGAGUGCCGCGAGACGUGCCGGGUGAUGGGCUACGACGUGCCCAAGGGCACCAAGGUGUUCGUCAACGUGUGGGCGAUGGGGAGGGACGACAGGUACUGGGGCGACGCGGAGGCAUUCAGGCCGGAGAGGUUCGAGAACAGCACCGUCGACUUCAAGGGCGCCGACUUCGAGUUCCUCCCCUUCGGAGCCGGCCGGAGGAUGUGCCCCGGCAUGUCGCUCGGGAUGGCCAACAUGGAGCUGGCGCUGGCUAGCCUCCUUUUCCACUUCGACUGGGAGCUGCCCUGUGGCGUCGGGGCCGAAGACAUGGACAUGACGGAGACCUUCGGCAUCACGGUGAGAAGGAAGUCCAAGCUCUGGGUGCACGCGAAACCCCACGUUCCAUGUGAGAAUUGA